UUGAACAAAAAGAACGCUGUUCAACUAGACCAGGGGGAGUAGCUGAUGAGGACUGGAAUACUCAUCAGCACUGUGCUUAGUAAUCCAAGCCUAUUUUACCUUGUUAUGAUUAUUGUUAUUAUUAUUAUAUAAACUAACCAGCGCAGGUUUAACUAAAAAGACUUGCUAACAGACGAAUAUGAAGAGUCAAUCAGCCUUGACCAAAGUGCAGAGCAUAGCUGCUCAGCCAGAGCAGAGCA
rnacentral:lncRNA from 1 species